rnacentral:lncRNA from 1 species
CAGAUCCAACCAGAAUGAUCCCCAGGGCCUCCUGCUGCCUGCAUGGGGCUCACUGUCCUCUUCUUGGGAGUGUCACAGGAAGAUCUGAUACCACUUCAAACUAUCAGGUCUCAGGCAGCCCUUGUGUGUGAGUGUGGAGUGACUCAGCCAGAGGGAACGGCAACGCAGUGGCACCCGCCCCCACCUCCUGGUCACCUGGACCCCCACAUGGCUGACUCUCAGCACAUCUCUUUUUACAUUAUGUAAAUUCUCAGUCCAUCUGUUGUUCAGAUUGUAGGCACCAUUGUAUCUGAGAUUCUUGUCACUACUGUGUGAUCAAUAAGAUUCCUCUAAAGAUGCAGCUUUUUGUAAAACAUAUCGCGUGGCUGGGGUUGUGGCUCAGCGGUAGAGCGCUCGCCUAGCACGUGGGAGGCACUGGGUUUCAUCCUCAGAACCACAUAAAAAUAAUAAAAUAAAGGUAUUGUGUCCAUCUGCAACU